AUGCAAGUCGAACGGUGAUGCUCCAGCUUGCUGGAGUGGAUCAGUGGCGAACGGGUGAGUAACACGUGAGCAACCUGCCCCAAACUCUGGAAUAAGCGCUGGAAACGGCGUCUAAUACUGGAUACGAGACCAACCUGCAUGGGUAUGGUUUGGAAAGUUUUUCGGUUUGGGAUGGGCUCGCGGCCUAUCAGCUUGUUGGUGAGGUAAUGGCUCACCAAGGCGACGACGGGUAGCCGGCCUGAGAGGGCGACCGGCCACACUGGGACUGAGACACGGCCCAGACUCCUACGGGAGGCAGCAGUGGGGAAUAUUGCACAAUGGGCGAAAGCCUGAUGCAGCGACGCCGCGUGAGGGAUGACGGCCUUCGGGUUGUAAACCUCUUUCAGCAGGGAAGAAGCGAAAGUGACGGUACCUGCAGAAGAAGCACCGGCUAACUACGUGCCAGCAGCCGCGGUAAUACGUAGGGUGCGAGCGUUGUCCGGAAUUAUUGGGCGUAAAGAGCUUGUAGGCGGUUUGUCGCGUCUGCUGUGAAAAUCCGGGGCUCAACCCCGGACUUGCAGUGGGUACGGGCAGACUAGAGUGUGGUAGGGGAGACUGGAAUUCCUGGUGUAGCGGUGAAAUGCGCAGAUAUCAGGAGGAACACCGAUGGCGAAGGCAGGUCUCUGGGCCACUACUGACGCUGAGAAGCGAAAGCAUGGGGAGCGAACAGGAUUAGAUACCCUGGUAGUCCAUGCCGUAAACGUUGGGAACUAGGUGUGGGUCUCAUUCCACGAGAUCCGUGCCGCAGCUAACGCAUUAAGUUCCCCGCCUGGGGAGUACGGCCGCAAGGCUAAAACUCAAAGGAAUUGACGGGGGCCCGCACAAGCGGCGGAGCAUGCGGAUUAAUUCGAUGCAACGCGAAGAACCUUACCAAGGCUUGACAUAUACCGGAAACUUCCAGAGAUGGUUGCCCCUUUUAGGUCGGUAUACAGGUGGUGCAUGGUUGUC
rnacentral:rRNA from 1 species